rnacentral:rRNA from 1 species
CUGGUUGAUCCUGCCAGACCCGACUGCUAUCGGAUUGGGACUAAGCCAUGCGAGUCAACUCCGCAAGGCGUGGCGCACGGCUCAGUAACACGUAGUCAACCUACCCUGGGGACGGGGAUAACCUCGGGAAACUGAGGCUAAACCCCGAUGGGCCAUGGCUCCUGGAAUGGGCUAUGGCUGAGAUCUACAUGGCCCCAGGAUGGGACUGCGGCCGAUCAGGUUGUUGGUGGGGUAAUGGCCCACCAAGCCUAUAACCGGUGCGGGCUCUGAGAGGAGGAGCCCGGAGAUAGGCACUGAGACAAGGGCCCAGGUCCUAUGGGGCGCAGCAGGCGCGAAACCUCCGCAAUGGGCGAAAGCCCGACGGGGUCAGUCCGAGUGGUUCCCGCUGAGGGAACCUUUUGCCAGCUGUAAACAGGCUGGCGAAUAAGGGGUGGGCAAGUUUGGUGUCAGCCGCCGCGGUAAUACCAGCACCCCGAGUGGUCGGGACGAUUAUUGGGCCUAAAGCAUCCGUAGCCGGCCCAGUAAGUCCUCCGUUAAAUCCAACGGCUCAACCGUUGGGCUGCGGGGGAUACUGCUGGGCUAGGGGACGGGAGAGGCGAGGGGUAUUCCCGGGGUAGGGGUAAAAUCCACUGAUCCCGGGAGGACCACCAGUGGCGAAGGCGCCUCGCUAGAACGUGCCCGACGGUGAGGGAUGAAAGCUGGGGGAGCGAACCGGAUUAGAUACCCGGGUAGUCCCAGCCGUAAACGAUGUAGGCUCGGUGUUGGGCUGCCUCAGUGGCAGCCCAGUGCCGCAGGGAAGCCGUUAAGCCUACCGCCUGGGGAGUACGGCCGCAAGGCUGAAACUUAAAGGAAUUGGCGGGGGAGCACCAC